rnacentral:tRNA from 1 species
CUGCCGCCCGGCCGGCGCCUUCCCGUGGCGUGGACGCCGUACCUGGCCUCGGACGACGUCGACCUGACGGCGGCCGCGGUGCGCUCCUGCGGCGGCACG